rnacentral:rRNA from 1 species
GGUGAGUAACACGUGGGUAACCUUCCUGUAAGACUGGGAUAACUCCGGGAAACCGGGGCUAAUACCGGAUGGUUGUUUGAACCGCAUGGUUCAAACAUAAAAGGUGGCUUCGGCUACCACUUACAGAUGGACCCGCGGCGCAUUAGCUAGUUGGUGAGGUAAUGGCUCACCAAGGCAACGAUGCGUAGCCGACCUGAGAGGGUGAUCGGCCACACUGGGACUGAGACACGGCCCAGACUCCUACGGGAGGCAGCAGUAGGGAAUCUUCCGCAAUGGACGAAAGUCUGACGGAGCAGCGCCGCGUGAGUGAUGAAGGUUUUCGGGUCGUAAAGCUCUGUUGUCAGGGAAGAACAAGUACCGUUCGAAUAGGGCGGUACCUUGACGGUACCUAACCAGAAAGCCACGGCUAACUACGUGCCAGCAGCCGCGGUAAUACGUAGGUGGCAAGCGUUGUCCGGAAUUAUUGGGCGUAAAGGGCUCGCAGGCGGUUUCUUAAGUCUGAUGUGAAAGCCCCCGGCUCAACCGGGGAGGGUCAUUGGAAACUGGGGAACUUGAGUGCANAAGANGAGAGUGGAAUUCCACGUGUAGCGGUGAAAUGCGUAGAGAUGUGGAGGAACACCAGUGGCGAAGGCGACUCUCUGGUCUGUAACUGACGCUGAGGAGCGAAAGCGUGGGGAGCGAACAGGAUUANAUACCCUGGUAGUCCACGCC